AUUGAACGCUGGCGUCAGGCCUAACACAUGCAAGUCGAGCGGAUGAAGGGAGCUUGCUCCUGGAUUCAGCGGCGGACGGGUGAGUAAUGCCUAGGAAUCUGCCUGGUAGUGGGGGAUAACGUCCGGAAACGGGCGCUAAUACCGCAUACGUCCUGAGGGAGAAAGUGGGGGAUCUUCGGACCUCACGCUAUCAGAUGAGCCUAGGUCGGAUUAGCUAGUUGGUGGGGUAAAGGCCUACCAAGGCGACGAUCCGUAACUGGUCUGAGAGGAUGAUCAGUCACACUGGAACUGAGACACGGUCCAGACUCCUACGGGAGGCAGCAGUGGGGAAUAUUGGACAAUGGGCGAAAGCCUGAUCCAGCCAUGCCGCGUGUGUGAAGAAGGUCUUCGGAUUGUAAAGCACUUUAAGUUGGGAGGAAGGGCAGUAAGUUAAUACCUUGCUGUUUUGACGUUACCAACAGAAUAAGCACCGGCUAACUUCGUG
rnacentral:rRNA from 1 species